UUUUUUUAAAUAAAAACUCAGACGUAUAGAUAAGAAUAGACAGACAGAGUGUUGUACUCAAACAAAGGCGGUGGGUCAAGAGAGCUAGGGUUUCAGUUUUCUUUCGGAGAAAUCGAAUUGAAGCAUGAUUAAAGUCGACCAAGACGUGUUAUCAAUGACCAUCAAAAGUAGUUGAAUUGUGUUUUCGAGUUGUGUUGAGCCAGAAGCGAGAUGCCAGGGCAAUAUAUUAUUCUCGAGUUGCGUGACUAUGAUGUCACUAGUUUUUCUGUCAGAGCUAGGGAUUCAGAUGAAUUGUUGGUUAAGCUGCGCGUAAGAGUAAUGCUAGGUGAGAAUGCCAGGGAGAUGUCAGUGAAACCAAUUAUGGUUAGAAUUGUUCUAUUCCAAUUUAGUUGUAUAAUAGAUUUAUUUAUUUGGUUAUCAGUUACUCUUCUUAUCGAGGUGUAACUGAUAAUGUAGUUUAAGUUGUAAUAAGAUUUAAAGUUUUAAUUUCUGAUUUCAGUGCUGUAACCUAUUAGCGAUCCUGUUUUUAGGGGGUUAAAGUGAUUUUGAUUUAAAUCUCUUUUAAAAAUUUUCAAGAUUUUCGAAUAUCUAUUUUACAUUCUUCUUCAAUACCGGUUUUUAAAUAAUUUUGUUUUAGUGGCACCAAAUCCAGACCCCCGGAUUUUGGGGAUGUCACAGUUGGUAUCAGAGCUAUAGGUUAUAAGUUAUUGAAAUCAGAAUGUAGGUUGUGUAAGGAUUGUGUUUAAUGGAACCUCAUAUAGAGGUAAGAUAAGACUAUUUGGCAUAGUCUUUGUUAGUAAAAUUGUGGUUAAUAUUGGAGUAUUGAUUUUGAGUAACAAUUGGGAUAUCCUAGUUUCUAGUUUUAGAACUAGUGAGUUUGGAUUUCAGAGAAACAUGAUAAAACCUUUAGUUUCCAAUCUUUUUGAAUUUGAGAUUGACUUUCUGAGUACCCAGUACUAGCUAGACCUGUGGGUUGACCUGUCUAGUCUGGAUUAUCUCUUUUCAUCUUUACCACUUCUUGAAUAUGGUAGAGAGUCAUCUAUUGAUUUUCUAGAGAUAUAUAUAGAAUGAGUAUGAGAUUUGUUGGGUCAGAGAUGCUGUGAUUUGAGAGUUAUGUAGAAUUCAUAUAAGACUACUCGACAUAGUGUUAUGAGUAGGCUAGAACGUCAACGUUCUACAAUGCUGAUUGUAUAAAGUUGAAGAUGGUUUCUGACCGUGCCAAGCUAGAUAAGACCUUUUACUAAAGUGGAUUGCGAUGAUGAAAUUCUCAAAGAAGAUUACAAGUCAACGAUGAUAUGCGUAAUUGAUCAUUAAGAAUGUCGAGAAGAAUCGUUACAAACGACACGAGACAUCAGAGGAGCCAAUCAAGAAGAUAUUUGUGAGAAUCUUGGCAAUACCUUUCUCGUUGUUGAUUAUAUUGAUUAUUUCUCAAUCAAUGAUUUAUUCUAACAUCUCUUUCAUAAAGAUGUUUGUUAAAUUGAAUUGUGAUAGAGGCUAAUAUGAUAUCUAUUUUUUUAGGUUAUAUAAAGCCCUGUCAAGUUUAUGAUGUGAAACCUUCACUUUCUUCAAGUGGUGAAUGCUUCUAUUUCAAUAUAUCACCAUUUACUCGUUGUGUAUAAAUAUUCUUUCUAGUUAUUAUUUUUCUCCAGAAUAACACCUUUGGAAAUUCUUCAAUGUCGAUCCAAGGCGUGUAUCAAAUUUUAAUUCGUCAAAAGAUAAUGAUCAUUUAUUUAAUUUUAAAAUUCAUUACAUAUUUAUUUUCUCUAACUGAGAUGAACAACCCUAUUCAUAGGGGACACAAUGACUAUCUGUCUGUGUGAUAGAAGUUUGAUGGGACGCCAUCACUUGUGUGUUGUGCAUUACAAGAAGGCUAAUUACCUUUAGUAGUAUCUUUAUUAAGAUACGCGACAUUAAGUUCUCUGGAUCAUAUUGAUCUCUCAGUGCUUCUUUAUUUCCAAUCAAUUUUGACUUGGAAAAGUUUAAGUAUGACAAUUACUUUGAUAUCUAAAUUCUGAGACAUUUUAAGAUUUCAUAAUUCUGGUUCCAAUCAAUUUUGAAGGUAUGCCAACCAGGUUGUGUGAGCUAAUCAUGCUAGUACAUUUCAAGAUUACGUAUAAGAUUACAAUUAUUAAAGCAGAUCACGACCCGACUUGCAAGCCAUAGCAUGCUGAAGUCUCUCUUCGCUGAUUCCGAGGACGGAAUCCUUAUAAGGGGGGAAGUCUGUAAUGAAUCGGGUUUUUAUCAAUGUUUUGAAUAUAAAUCCAUUAUUUAUUGGAUUUGAAAUUCCCUGCAUAUUAUGGAUUUACCUUAUUAUGCUUUUAAAUUUAUCUUGCUGAGCAUUUUCGCUCACCCUUGCCAUUAUUUCUAACCCCUUUCAGCUAGGGAUUCAGAUGAAUUGUUGGUUAAGCUGCGCGUAAGAGUAAUGCUAGGUGAGAAUGCCAGGGAGAUGUCAGUGAAACCAAUUAUGGUUAGAAUUGUUCUAUUCCAAUUUAGUUGUAUAAUAGAUUUAUUUAUUUGGUUAUCAGUUACUCUUCUUAUCGAGGUGUAACUGAUAAUGUAGUUUAAGUUGUAAUAAGAUUUAAAGUUUUAAUUUCUGAUUUCAGUGCUGUAA